rnacentral:tRNA from 2 species
GGGGCUAUAGCUCAGCUGGGAGAGCGCUUGCCUUGCACGCAGGAGGUCUGCGGUUCGAUCCCGCAUAGCUCCACCA